rnacentral:rRNA from 1 species
AUUGAACGCUGGCGGCAGGCCUAACACCUGCAAGUCGAACGAGUGGCGGACGGGUGAGUAAUGUCUGGGAAACUGCCCGAUGGAGGGGGAUAACUACUGGAAACGGUAGCUAAUACCGCAUACCAUCGGAUGUGCCCAGAUGGGAUUAGCUAGUAGGUGGGGUAACGGCUCACCUAGGCGACGAUCCCUAGCUGGUCUGAGAGGAUGACCAGCGACACUGGAACUGAGACACGGUCCAGAAUCCAACGGGAGGCAGCAGUGGGGAAUAUUGCACAAUGGGCGCAAGCCUGAUGCAGACAUGCCGAGUGUAUGAAGAAGGCCUUCGGGGUGUAAAGUACUUUCAGCGAGGAGGCGUUACUCGCAGAAGAAGCACCGGCGAACAACGUGCCAGCAGCCGCGGUAAUUC